rnacentral:misc_RNA from 1 species
GAUGAAGAACGCAGCAAAAUGCGAUAAGUAAUGUGAAUUGCAGAAUUCAGUGAAUCAUCGAAUCUUUGAACGCACAUUGCGCCCGCCAGUAUUCUGGCGGGCAUGCCUGUUCGAGCGUCAUUUCAACCCUCAAGCACAGCUUGGUGUUGGGACUCGCGUUAAUUCGCGUUCCCCAAAUUGAUUGGCGGUCACGUCGAGUUCCAUAGCGUAGUAGUAAAACCCUCGUUACUGGUAAUCGUCGCGGCCACGCCGUUAAACCCCAACUUCUGAAUGUUGACCUCGGAUCAGGUAGGAAUACCCGCUGAACUUAAGCAUAUCAAUAAGCGGAGGA